rnacentral:rRNA from 1 species
AUGCAGUGCCGUGGUGUGAUGGCAGACGUUCAAGAUGGUCAUUAUGAUUCGUCCACUGACAGCUUGCGCGUUGAGCCUAUUUAUGAAUCAUUUCUUUGUCCACUCACAAAACAAAUUAUGCGGGAUCCUGUCACUUUAGAGAGUGGUGCUACAUUUGAACGGGAAGCCAUUUUGAAGUGGUUCAAGGAAUCUGAUAGCAGUGGAAGGAGCCUUGUCUGCCCUAUUACUAGGAAGGAGCUCAGCAGCACUGAGUUGAAUCCAAGCAUUGCUCUGAGAAACACUAUUGAUGAAUGGAUGCAUAGGAAUGAGGCAGCUAAACUUGAUGUAGCCUGUAAAUCCUUAACUUCCGAGAAUUCAGAACAUGAUACUUUGCAAGCACUUGAAUAUGUUGUGGAGAUAUGUCAGAGAAGUAGAUCCAGCAGACAUGUAGUGAGGAAGCUUGGCUUGAUAAGCUUAAUUUCCGAGCUGUUGAAGAAUAGCAGUACAAAAGUACGGCAAAAGGCAUUGGAAAGUCUUUGCUUUGUAGCUAAAGAUGACAAUGAUAACAAGGAUGAGAUUGCUGCCGGGGACAAUAUUCGCACAAUAGUGAAGUUCUUAUCUCAUGGCCACGUCCAAGAGAAAGAACAGGCUGCAUCUCUGUUAUAUGAACUUUCACAAUAUAAACCUCUUUCAGAAAAAAUUGGGAGCGUUCCUGGGGCCAUACUUAUACUUGUUGGCUUGUCAAGUAGUAAAAUAGAAAACCUGUUUACAGUUGAUAGGGCUGAUAAGACACUUGUGAAUUUGGAGAGCUGUGAAAAAAAUGUUAGACAGAUGGCGGAAAACGGUAGACUGCAACCGCUUCUUAGGCUUCUUCUUGAAGGUUCAGCUGAUACACAAUUAUCUAUGGCUGCUUAUGUCGGGGAGCUUGUUUUAACCAACGAUGUGAAGGUCUUUGUGGCACAAACAGCAGGCUCCGCACUAGUCAAUAUCAUGAAAAGUGGGAAUAGGGAGGCUAGAGAAGCAGCUCUGAAGGCACUGAAUCAAAUUUCAUCUUACGACGUCAGUGCGAAGAUACUAAUUGAAGCAGGUAUUCUCCCACCUCUCAUAGCAGACCUCUUUACAGUUGGCAGUAAUCAGCUUCCAAUGAAGUUGAAGGAGGUAUCAGCAACAAUUCUUGCAAAUGUUGUGGCAUCAGGUGCAAAUUUUCAGUCCAUUCCACUUGACCACAACAGGCAGACACUGGUAUCUGAAGAAAUUGUUCACAAUCUGCUUCAUCUCAUCAGCAAUACAGGACCUGCAACUGAGUGUAAGUUACUCCAGGUGCUUGUUGGUUUAACUAGUUCUUCUACAACUGUCCAAGGCAUAGUUGAUGCCAUCAAAAGCUCAGGGGCUACUGUCAGUUUAAUUCAGUUUGUUGAAGCACCUCAAAGAGAGGUUCGCAUGGCUUCCAUCAAGCUCUUGAAUAACAUAUCACCAUGUAUGGGUCAAGAACUGGCUGAAGCUUUUCGUGGAAAUUUUAGUCAACUCAGCAGCUUGAUUAGAGUCAUUGCCGACAACAAUGGUAUUUCUGAAGAGCAAGCACCAGCUGCUGGUCUGGUAGCUGAUCUUCCUCUGCAGGAUUCGGUGCUAACCAGACGUCUUGUUGAAGAUGGGGCUUUCACCACAAUAAUAUCCAAAGUGAUAAUGAUCAGACAAGGGGAGAGUCGUGGGGGGCGUUUCGUCAACCCUUUUCUUGAAGGUCUAGUUAGGAUUGUCUCCCGGAUCACAUUUAUCUUGGAGGAUGAUCCAGAUAUCAUUGCUGUUGCUCGUGAAUACAAUCUCACUGCACUAUUUAGUGAUCUGCUUCAGAUGAAUGGUCUUGACACUGUCCAGAUUGUCUCUGCCACCGCACUAGGAAAUCUAUCUGGCCAGUCAAAGCAUCUAACGAAGAUUCUGCCACCUCCCAACGCGGGAUUGUGUUUUUCAAUAUUUCCAUGCCUCAGUCAGAAGUCUGUAGAAACUGGUGUCUGUAGAGUUCAUCAUGGAAUAUGUUCGUCAAGGGAAAGCUUCUGUCUCUUGGAAGGGAAGGUGGUGGAGAAGUUGGUUGCUUGCUUGGAUCACAACAAUGAGAAAGUUGUUGAAGCCUCUCUAACAGCACUGUCCACAUUAUUAGACGAUGGAGUGGACAUUGAUCAAGGUGUGAUGGUCCUGUGCGACGCAGAGGGCGUCAAACCAAUUCUUGAUGUGUUGUGUGAGAAUCGGACUGAAGCGCUGAGGCAGAGAGCGGUGUGGGCCGUAGAAAGGAUCCUUAGGACGGAUGAAAUAGCUUAUGAGAUCUCGGGAAACCAAAAUGUCAGUACAGCCUUGGUUGAAGCUUUCAGGCAUGGUGACUUUAGGACAAGGCAAAUUGCAGAGCGAGCACUAAAGCAUGUUGAUAAGCUGCCCAAUUUCUCAGGGAUAUUUUCGAAGAUCGGGGCACAGUGA